rnacentral:lncRNA from 1 species
GCUGAGUGCUCAAACUGUCUUCAAAUAAGAUGGUGUCAGAAGCGGGAUCUGAAGUGGAGCUUCUAGCAACCCCCAGGAGCACUGAGUGAACACGCAAGGUGACUGCAGGACCCACUUGUGUCCACUGAUCUCUCAGAGUGACUGGGGAUCGUGAGUAAGCUUCCUCUUGGAUUUCAGAGUUCCACAGACUUGUGUUUUGAGCUCUCCAAGUUCCUUUGAGCAAAUAUCUGGUUCAAACUAGGUUUGGAGUUGCAACAGAAACUGGACUGGGUCCAGGAAUGGAUUUGAUCCAGUAAUGAACUGGCUUGGAUCCAAUUAGAGGUGUCUUACAUCUGAAUGGGUCAGAAAGGAACUGGUAGUAAGCAGUAAUAUUUCAGGGAUUAUAAAAUUUGGCUUUUGAAACUUCACAGGGAUUUUUGUGUUCUACCCUUUUGCUUCAUUUUUCUUGCAUGCUUAGGUAGGAAAAAUUAUUGGCUAAGUUAAGAGAACCUGAGAGUAAAGCCAAUAUUUUAGGUAAAAAUGGGAUCCUUAAUUUCUGGAAAACUGAGUUCCUUCUGGCUUAUACUUUAGGCCUGGGAGGCAGCGAAGUCUUACAGAAAUGGCAAAAUCUUACUAAAGAUAACUUACAGUGGAAUGUUCUGAAUGAACAGCAAUGCAUUGAAGUACAUUUAAAAAUGAAGACCCUUGACCAGGCGCAGUGGCUCAUACCUGUAAUCUCAGCACUUCGGGAGGCCAAGGCGGGCAGAUCAUGAGGUUAGGAGAUCCAGACCAUCCUGGCCAACAAGGUGAAACCCCGUCUCUACUAAAAAUACAAAAAUUAGCUGGGCAUUGUGGUGUGUGCCUAUAAUCCCAGCUACUCAGGAGGCUGAGGCAGCAGAAUCACUUGAACCAGGGAGUUGGAGAUUGCAAUGAGCCGAGAUCGCAGUGGAGAUUGGGCCACUGCACUCCAGCCUGGCAACAGAGUGAGACUCUGUCAAAAAAAAAAAAAAAAAAAAAAAGGCUCUCAGUAAAGUCCCUUUUGGCUAAGAACAAAUUUGGCACUACAGGAUGUCAACUGCUAUUCUCUUUGGAAUAAUCUGCCUUGCACUCUUUGCUGAUGACUAUGGGUGACAGGAUUAGGCAUAGAGAGGGUCGUGGGACAUGGGGAGUGUUUUCCUUCCCCAAAAGGGGAAACUUGAGAGCUGAUGGGACUGUUGGAAAAAAAAAUCCCUUCAUGACAGCAGCUGCAGCCACCUGAGCUUUUCAAUGUGGGUCUUUCUCUAGACUCCCUGAGCAUUUUGCCUUCCCACCCCGCCACAGGCAAUGCUUUCUCUCUCUCUCUCUCUCUCCUUUCCCUUUUUUAUCUUUUCUGUUACUCAGGGCAACCAUCUUGCCCAGAGACCACGUGUCUCUAGUUUAAUCCAAACUCCUAGUCGGAGGUUGGAUUAAAGAUGAAGGGGCCCAUGUGAGGGCAAAUUUAAGGCUUAUCAGUUUGAUAUUGGGUGAUAAGAAGAGUGGCCAAUGUCUAUGUUUUAUUACACAUAUUUUACUCUGGUCAGAACCAAAAAAGAUAAUUUUCCUUUAUGAUGCAGCUUGGCCCCCAGCGUGAUGAUGCGGCAAGCUGGGUCACUGGGGCCACUCAGGGAAAAGGAACCCAGAAGCCUGGCAUGCUGGCAAAAGGGUAAGAAUUUUUUUCUUUUUUUUUUUUGAGUCAAAGUCUCGCUCUUUUACAAGGGCAGUGGCAUGAUCUCAGCUCACUGCAACCUCUGCCUCCCAGGUUCAAGCGAUUCUCCUGCCUCAGCCCCCCGAGUAGCUGGGAGUACAGGUGUGUGCCACCACACCUGGCUAAUUUUUGUAUUCGUAGCAGAGACGGGGUUUCACUAUGUUGGCCAGGCUGGUCUUGAACUCCUGACCUCAUGAUCUGCCCGCCUCGGCCUCCCAAAGUGCUGAGAUUACAGGCAUGAGCCACCACACCCAGCCAAGGGUAAGAAUUUCUUACCAGUCAGAUUUCUGGUUUCUCUCUCUCUGUGCGAACAGUUGAAUGAAUGGUAAAAAUCACUGUUUACUCCUCUGUAAAGUUGUGAUUAAUGCAAAAAAGAAUUCUGAGGCCAGUCUCAUACUGAUGUAUUUGUGCUAUGAACUUGUUUUUCUGUGUUGAGGGGUACCUUAGGAUAAAACGUGGGCUUAGGGCCCCAUAAACUCGCUGCCCAAGAUGACCCAGCAAGCUGGUUGAUAACAAACUUUCCUGCCUGUCCCUGAAACAAACAAACAAACUACUGGAUGGGGUCUCCAUCUUGUUUUAUGUCCUUGGGUGCUUGACCUUAUAACCAUGUGGCAGUACUUUCUCUUGGUCUCUGCCUUCCAGGGAACAGGAAUUUUAGGGUUUAUGUCAUAGGUUGCUCUAAAAAUUAUCUUGAGUAGAUAAAAGGCUUUGCAAGCUCAAAAUUAACUACUCUAGACUUCUUCUGGGAAGGGCAGCAGAGACUACCCUGUUCUGUAGCUCAAUAGCUAGUGUUUUGGCAUUUCACGCUGGCAGUCCAGGUUUGAUUCCCUCUUUAGGAAGUAAGUCAUUUCUGGUUUAAUAUCUGCAUAACUUUGUCUAGUCUCUUCUCCAUGGACUAUCUUAAAUUUUCCUUUCUCUGGCCUAGUGUGGUGGCUCAUGCCUGUAAUCCCAGCACUUUGGGAGGCCAAGGCAGGUGGAUCACGAGGUCAGGAGUUUGAGGCCAUCCUGACCAACAUGGUGAAACCUC